UCGGACAUUGUCUGAUUUUGUUGUUGGGGAAGGUAAUGAAGUGGGUAUAACAGCUUUGGAGAAUUUAAAGUUUCUUCGAGGGGCACUUCGCAUUUCAAGGUUGGAUAAUGUGGCUAAUGCUUCAAAUGUAAGAGGAACCAUUUUAUUGGACAAGGGGAGAAUAGAUGAUCUGGUGAUGGCAUGGGGAAAUUCUUAUUUGGCAAGUAGAUCGUUUUCUUUUCCAAACGGAGAUAGUGUUGUACUUGAGAAGAUGAAACCUCAUGAAAGUUUGGAAAAACUCACCAUAAUUGGUUAUGGUGGUGGUUUUCAAUUUCCUUCGUGGGUAGGGGAUCCUUUAUUUCGAAAUCUAGUAUGCCUAGAGUUGGAAAAUUGCAACUGCACAACCUUGCCUCAACUUGGG
rnacentral:misc_RNA from 1 species